GAUGAACGCUGGCGGCGUGCCUAAUACAUGCAAGUCGAGCGAACAGAUAAGGAGCUUGCUCCUUUGACGUUAGCGGCGGACGGGUGAGUUACACGUGGAUAACCUACCUAUAAGGCUGGGAUAACUUCGGGAAACCGGAGCUAAUACCGGAUAACAUAUUGAACCGCAUGGUUCAAUAGUGAAAGGCGGCUUUGCUGUCACUUAUAGAUGGAUCCGCGCCGUAUUAGCUAGUUGGUAAGGUAACGGCUUACCAAGGCAACGAUACGUAGCCGACCUGAGAGGGUGAUCGGCCACACUGGAACUGAGACACGGUCCAGACUCCUACGGGAGGCAGCAGUAGGGAAUCUUCCGCAAUGGGCGAAAGCCUGACGGAGCAACGCCGCGUGAGUGAUGAAGGUCUUCGGAUCGUAAAACUCUGUUAUCAGGGAAGAACAAAUGUGUAAGUAACUGUGCACAUCUUGACGGUACCUGAUCAGAAAGCCACGGCUAACUACGUG
rnacentral:rRNA from 1 species